CCUCCCGCUCUGCAGCCACGCAAACAGGAGGCGCACUGGAGACUCGUCACCGAGGAGCUAGAGGAGUACACGUUCUCCCUGCAAAAACGGCAAAGAUAAGACAGACUGUGGCAGGCCCCCCUUUUCCUCUGGAGGCCGGCUGAUGUUGCCAGAAUCUCCACACUCAUUUUGCACUUUCAAAAUCUGUAUCUAUGACAACUGCAUUUACUGAAAUAUGGAAAUAUCAAGUCUAAGAGAAGUG